UACGAAAGGGGCUAGCGUUGUUCGGAAUUACUGGGCGUAAAGCGCACGUAGGCGGCCUUGUAAGUUGGGGGUGAAAUCCCAGGGCUCAACCCUGGAACUGCCUCCAAAACUACAAAGCUCGAGGAUGUGAGAGGAGAGUGGAAUUCCGAGUGUAGAGGUGAAAUUCGUAGAUAUUCGGAAGAACACCAGUGGCGAAGGCGACUCUCUGGCACAUUUCUGACGCUGAGGUGCGAAAGCGUGGGGAGCAAACAGG
rnacentral:rRNA from 1 species